GCGAUCAUAUCAGUACUAAUACACCAAAUUCUAUCAGAACUCCGCAGUUAAGCGUGUUUGAACGAGAAUAAUAUUAGGAUUGGUGACCUGCUGGAAGUCCCUGUGUUACACCCC